GACGAACGCUGGCGGCGUGCUUAACACAUGCAAGUCGAACGGUGAAGGGAUCAGCUUGCUGGUUCUGGAUGAGUGGCGAACGGGUGAGUAACACGUGAGUAACCUGCCCCCUUCUUCUGGAUAACCGCAUGAAAGUGUGGCUAAUACGGGAUAUUCUGGGUCUGUCGCAUGGCGGGCCUGGGAAAGAUGCGCCUUUGGGUGUUUUUGGUGGGGGAUGGGCUCGCGGCCUAUCAGCUUGUUGGUGGGGUGAUGGCCUACCAAGGCGGUGACGGGUAGCCGGCCUGAGAGGGUGGACGGUCACACUGGGACUGAGACACGGCCCAGACUCCUACGGGAGGCAGCAGUGGGGAAUAUUGCACAAUGGGCGCAAGCCUGAUGCAGCGACGUCGCGUGAGGGAUGGAGGCCUUCGGGUUGUGAACCUCUUUCGCCGGUGAAGAAGGUCCUGCUUUUUGGGUGGGGUGGACGGUAGCCG
rnacentral:rRNA from 1 species